rnacentral:rRNA from 1 species
AACGAACGCUGGCGGCGUGGCUAAGGCAUGCAAGUCGAACGGACCCGCUUUCGGGCGGGUUAGUGGCGCACGGGUGAGGAAUACAUGGAUAACGUACCCCGGACACAGGGAUAGCGGCGGGCCGCAAGGUCCUUUGCGAAAGUGCCGGUAAUACCUGAUGAUCCCAUCGCCCCGCAUGAGGUGAUGGGCAAAGCUCCGACGGUCUGGGAUCGGUUCAUGUCCUAUCAGCAGUUGGUGAGGUAACGGCCCACCAAGGCUGUGACGGGUAUCGGGCGUGAGAGCGUGGCCCGACAUAUCGGAGCUGAGACACUGUCCGGACACCUACGGGUGGCUGCAGCAACGAAUAUUCCGCAAUGGACGAAAGUCUGACGGAGCGACGCCGCGUGCAGGAAGAAGUCCCUC